CGUCAAAUAGGCUAGGCUGUAAUAUUAGGUAAAAUCUAAUUUCAGUUUGGUUAUCACAUAGCGUUCAUUUCCCUAAGGGAGGAGAAAAAAUUAAAUUUGUAAGCUUAAGAUUCCAGCUGAAGUACUCAAGAAUCCUGUUUCUCUGACAGAGGAAAGGAACAACAACUUGACUGGACACAUCCUAACCCAACCAUACGCUGUGUUACUUCCUCCACUGCGCCACACACAGCUAUUAUUCUAAGCUCUCUUAUUCAAACCCUUAAGGAUUUGUAAGGAGAACACUAAGAAGAUGGGCAGAAAUCAAAGCUUCCUGGUGUGAGGUUGUGGUAGAAGAUUCCUGGUUGAUCAAUGUAUAGAAGAUGGAAAUGGAUUCCAGUUGUGGGAAGGAAGAAAUCAUUGCUGCAGUCUCAGUCUGCUCUGCAGGAAUAGACCAUCUGAGGACACAGCACGAAGGUGGCCAUCUGCAAUUCAAGGAGAGAAGCCUCGGGAGAAAAUAAACCUGCCGGCACCUUGAUCUUGGACUUUUAGUUUCCAGAGCUGUGAGAAAAUAAAUGUUUGUUGUUUAAGCCACCCAGUCCGUGGUAUUUUGUUAUGGCAAACCUAGCAGACUAAUACAGAGAAGGAUGAAAAAUGAAGAACAUUUUUUUUUUGGAGCCUAUUACAACAGAUGAAAAUUCAUGCCCUCUUACACCCUAAGUUUCAGAGUAGGGAAAUAAAUACUACAUGUAAUGAAGACAGCAAAUUAUACAAUAUAUGAGAAGGUAAUAAAUGCUGUGGAAGAAACUCGAAGGUUAUAUUGAACUAGGAGAUCAGCAGUGCUGGGGACAGAGGGUUACAGGUUUUGGUACCAGACAGGAAGAGCAGGGAGGCAUCAUUGAGAAGGUACCAACUGUGUACUCAGAAGAGAGGAGGCAGCUGGUUAUGAGGUCAUCUGGGGGACAGCACGACAGGUAGAGACAGGAAAAGUAUAAAGGCUCUGAGGUGGAACCUGAG
rnacentral:lncRNA from 10 species